UAAAUGUUUAUUGAAUGACUGACUGAAAACCCAGAAGGACUGUAUUUGUCCCAGCUUUCUGGCUCACAAGCCUCCAUUGCACUAGUCCUUAUUAAGCCAGCCAAAACCUGGGUCAUGUUCCACCUGAAAGAAAAGCAAUAUCCAGUGGAGAGAGAGCUCUUAGAGUACAAUGACAGUGAAGUGUGUGUGAGGAGAACAUGUAGCAAAGGGAUAACUCAUAACUCUGGCACUUUCUGUCCUUUUCUUCCUUUGUAGAAUCCUCAUAAAGUUCCCUUCAGGAUAGCUUCCAGCUAGAUUCUGAGGGCUGAUUCCUUUCUAGAUGGCAUACUGGUACUCCUCUCCACUCUGAGAGGUCACACUCUUGAAGCAGCUGCCCUUCUCAGACAUAACAGGAAGGAUGCUCUGGAUGAUACAGCUGGUUCUGCAUGGAGACAAUAUAUAUGUCAAUGGGAAGGAGGCCACAAGGUCCAUGUAGAGUCCACAAAAUUUCCUCAGAAAGGUUCCACUGCAAUCUCUUUCUUGCUAUUUAGCAAGUUCUCCUAGGAGCUCCCUCAAUGGAACUGUGCAACCUGGCCUGCUUGGAGCCAAGAAGGAAUUGAUUUUUGUUCAUCCUUCAUUCUAGAAGAGGACCGCUGAUUUGGGGGGUGAUAUUUUGAUGUGCAAGUGAAUUGGAUUUAAGGAAGACAGAGCUGUGCAAAGUCAUCAGCCCAACCCUCUGCACCACAGUCAUCAGAGUUCUGAGCAACACAUAGGUCAGGACCACUGGAGGCAGCACCAGAUGGAGUAAAAGACCUUGACCUUUCUAAGCUAAGAUCCUUCCCAAGUUUCAGUUUCUCUGAGGCACCACCCAUUCAGUGAUUAAGUUUGGUAAGCAAUGAGGCAAAAGAUGGCCUACUGUGCCUUCACAAAAGAAUGCAUAUGAAGGUGGAAGACCUUCAGAAUUUCUGGCCAGAACAAAAGGUGCCUUUUAAGUGAGGAUAGGCCUGUACAGCUAAAACAAGUGAUAUCUGAAAGAAGUGACAUCAGUCAUUUAUAUCUUUGUUCAAAGUGAUCAGUUCCUAAGAACAAAAUCUGCCAGUCUUGCAAAAUUUCCUGGAUGAGAAGGGACAAAUGUAUAAUUCAAUCUGGGGAUUGCAUAAUACAUAAACAGGGAUUGUGUCUAGGAGGGCACACUUGAGUGAGAAGCUUAAUGACAAUCCCUUAGGUGGUAGAGAGCCACGAGGCAUCCCCUUCAAGAGGAAGGAAGGUGACAAAAAAUGUAGGUGAGGGGAAACGUCAAAAACGUGAGAGUUCUUGAAGACAAGCUUUAUAUCCUUCUCAACUUAGCAUGGGCUCAUCCCUGUUUAAAAUGUAUCCAUGUGUCAGCAUCCACAUGUAAUUCAGUAUAGGAUUGUUCCAACUGGGCUUUCCAUUAUAACUCAGUGUGUGCUGGUCUCUUUGGGAUCAUUCCAAGAAAGAUUCUUUGCUCUGAGUGUUAUUCAACAUGGUUAUACUUGAUUGAGGUAAAAUGGUGAAAUAUUUAACUUUGUUUGUCUUUACUGGGACUGACCCUGAAGAGGGCAAAAGAAUGGAUUUAACAGGCCAGGUAUCCCUAGGAAAUUUGGUGCUGUAAUUCAGCAAUCUACAUUUUUAGUGUCCUCCAUUUUCCUUUUCAGCAUUCUCCUGGGGGUGGGGGUGAGGUGGCCAGUGCCCCAA